CGGGAGUUCUGUGAAAGUGUGUCUAUGGCAGCCACGGAAGAUGAGAAGACUGGGAAGCAAGCAGCUCUUUACUGUCUACCCUGGGCCCUAGUCAUUCCUACUGCUGAAGAAUGGCCCCUCACAAGCUGCCAAGACAGCUCUAAGUCCAGAAAUCCUGAAGCUAUGUGCUGGACAAAGACGCACAGCCUACAUACCCUGCAAGGAAGGACCAAUGAGUAGUUUUAGCUUUGCCUUUGACAUGGCUUGCUGCCCAGGCACAAUGUCGCCCCUCUGAAGACAAAAAAGAUGAUUAAUCUCUUGGAGCGUGGUGGUCCUCGUCUACCAAAUAGUUUCAUCAUCUGUACAUACUUCACAAAGCUGUUGCAAAAUACAUGGCCAGACAUGCAUGAAGAUGGAAUGAGAACUGACUGGAGCUUUGUGGGGGUGUCCCAGGAGGGACCUCGGGAUUCUCCUAGGGGAAUUUAAAAUAUGAGAUUAUCAUUUAUCUGAUGAAUGACCUUGGAUGCAUUUACCUGCUGUCUGCACCUGUUUCUUCUACAGCGUGAAGGUCAUCACAGCACUCAGGUAAAGUU